rnacentral:lncRNA from 1 species
CUUGUAUUUUGUAUAUUGAAAAAAAAAUGUUAUAUUUUGAAAGAAAAGGUAAUGUUAGAGUAUUAGGAUGUGUUUUAUAAGAUGUUUUAGGUUGUAGUAAAAUUGAGAGUAAAGAGUAAAAAGAAAAGGGUGAAUAAAUGAGAGAGUGGAGAAAAGUGGCGUAUCUGGCGUUGUGAUUGGUCCCAGGGCGAUGGGGAGGAGCCAAUGAGGGAGGAGAGGGUGUGCAGCACUCCUGGAAAGAGAGGGGGGUACGUGGCCUCUUUGCAGGGAGCAGCACACCACAAUAUUCUCGUCUUGGAUGUGCAAAUCACUUUUCUGUCACAUCACCACCACACGUGCACCCUUUCUAUUUGCCAACAACAACCAUUACUCACUCCCACUUUAUCUUUUCCUUCAACUAACACACUCUUCUCCUAUUUCAAAUCAAACGCUACCAAUGCAAAACCACAACACACAAAUACACAUUUUUAAUUUACCUCACAUAUACUACCCAAACAAACCUCAUCAUGCCCUCUCUUUCUCACUAAAUUUU